rnacentral:rRNA from 1 species
UACGUGAGGAUGCAAGCGUUUGUUGUACCGGGAUUUAUUGGGCGGUUAAAGCGUGCGUAGGCGGAUCCGCAAGGUCCAAAGGUUUAAAGCGUGGGGCCUUCAAACCCCCAUUGAUGCCUCGGGAAACCGGCGGGCUAGAGGACGGCAGAGGAAGGUGGAAUUCCCAGUGUAGCGGUGAAAAUGCGUAGAUAUUGGGAGGAACACCGGUGGACGAAAGCGGUCCUUCUGGGCCGAAACCUGACCGGCU